rnacentral:rRNA from 1 species
AUGCACGCUGGCGGCGUGCCUAAUCCCUGCCAGUCGCGCGAACAGACGAGGAGCUUGCUCCUCUGACGUUAGCGGCGGACGGGUGAGUAACACGUGGAUAACCUACCUAUAAGACUGGGAUAACUUCGGGAAACCGGAGCUAAUACCGGAUAAUAUAUUGAACCGCAUGGUUCAAUAGUGAAAGACGGUUUUGCUGUCACUUAUAGAUGGAUCCGCGCCGCAUUAGCUAGUUGGUAAGGUAACGGCUUACCAAGGCAACGAUGCGUAGCCGACCUGAGAGGGUGAUCGGCCACACUGGAACUGAGACACGGUCCAGACUCCUACGGGAGGCAGCAGUAGGGAAUCUUCCGCAAAGGGCGAAAGCCUGACGGAGCAACGCCGCGUGAGUGGUGAAGGUCUUCGGAUCGUAAAACUCUGUUAUUAGGGAAGAACAAAUGUGUAAGUAACUAUGCACGUCUUGACGGUACCUAAUCAGAAAGCCACGGCUAACUACGUG